rnacentral:rRNA from 1 species
AUUGAACGCUGGCGGCAGGCCUAACACAUGCAAGUCGAACGAGUGGCGGACGGGUGAGUAAUGUCUGGGAAACUGCCCGAUGGAGGGGGAUAACUACUGGAAACGGUAGCUAAUACCGCAUACCAUCGGAUGUGCCCAGAUGGGAUUAGCUUGUAGGUGAGGUAACGGAUCACCUAGGCGACGAUCCCUAGCUGGUCUGAGAGGAGUACCAGCCACACUGGAACUGAGACAUGGUCAAGAAUCCGACGGGAGGGAGCAGGGGGGAAUAUUGCACAAUGGGAGCAAGCCGGAUGCAGCCAUGCCGCGUGUAUGAAGAAGGCCUUCGGGUUCUAAAGUACUUUCAGCUGGGAGGCGUUACCCGCAGAAGAAGCACCGGCUAACUCCGUGCCAGCAGCCGCGGUAAUAC